CAGGCAUGGAAGGACUGAGUGGGACAGAGGGCAUGCUGGGCUCAGGCAGUGGAAAAUAACUACCUGUGGGAGGUUGCAGGAUAGAGAGAGGUACUUAGUUGCCAGCUGGGGUUAUACCACAACAUGGAUCCAAAGGAACAUUUAAUCCAUCUGCAGAAUGUGUAUGAAAAACAGAAAUCCCUAUCAUGCCACUGCACCUUUUACUCUUUUGCAAUGGCUUGAUGGAUUUGAGAUGGUUGAUGUCUGGCAAUGUGAACCCAGCUCCAGUCUCUUCUGUGAACCUAGACCUAAAUUAUUGACAAUAACACAGAUGCAGAAACUUGGCUGAAUUUGGAAAACAUAAUCUUUGCCAUGAAGCUUGUGUAUACAUAAGGAUACUACAGGCUAAGUGUAAUGGACAACAAUAUCAUUUUGAGCCUGCAGUCAUUACUGAAGUCCCACACCAGAAUAAUUUAGUGUAUAGCAGGUUGCAAUAAAGAAAUCAAGGGCUUAAAUUCAGCAUUUCCUGAGCCACUGGAUGAAAAAAGAGCACAAAGAAACAUGAUUCUUUAGUGUAUGCAAAUUUAUUCAACUCUGAAAUUAUUUAUUUACAGCUAAUGACUGAUACCAACUGAUGAGGUAAAAAUAUGAGGUAUUGAUAUGAGUAUAACAUUUAAAAAUGCAAUUAUCAUAAUGUAUCAAUGUAACAAUACAAAAUACUGUGGUAGCUGAAUGGUAGACAUGGCAUAAUGUGCAUUUUGAAGAAAUCUUGUUUCAACAAUACAUGGCUUGCAGAUGCCAGAAGGUCAUGACAGAGCUUCUGCAAGGGCAGGAAAACAGCCCUACCUUGCUGAGGGUGGCAGAUGGCACAGGGCCUCUUCCAGCUGAGCAAUGACUUGUGAGACAGGACAAAACCACUGUCCAGGUUUUCCCUUCUUUUCCUUAGGACAUUGUUUAUUGCCAGACACUGCCAUUCCCAGGGCAAGAAAUUCUGUUCCUGUUAAUGCUGAGGCUGUAUUUAUUUAUGUAAACUAAUGUAGCAGAAGUACUCUAAUUGCUCAUGUUUUGGAAAACAGCCGGCAUGAAAUCUGCUGCCAUGGCCACAGGCAUUUGGGAGGAGGUGCUGCUUUCUGGAAUGGCAUUCCCAGAUGGGGAGGCACUGUUUGCUCCUGGGAAGCCUGAGCCUGGGCAGUGGGAGUGCCCUGUAGCCAGCAGGUGACUGCCAGACCCCACUACAGCCACGUAACAGCCCCAUGAGUGCUCCCCUGUCUGCAGGACUUAAAGCUCGUGAUAGUUGCACAUUGCAACUGUUGUUGGCCAUAAACUCGAGGCAGGAGCUCCCAGGCAGCCAACAUCCCUGAUCCUAGGACUUGCACAACAUAAAUGAGUGACACAGCUCAUGGGUGAAGAUGACAGUGACUUUUUUGGAGUCCUGCUCCUUCACAAGGACAUGCUGGAGCACUGUGGGUCACCUUGGGCCACCCUGUCCACCCUGAGCUCUCACAGGUGUGCUGCCUCAGCCCACAGGGCUGUCCCCUGCCAGCACAGCCCCCAUGUGUGUGCAGGAUGGAACGUGGGGUCAUGCUCUAGCAGCUGUCACCAAGAACAUUCCACUGCACAGCUCCCGCACCUGGAGAAUGUUCAAAUCUCUGGCUUUGAAGGGACUUCCUCAUUCACUGAAUUGGGGCACAAAGCUGUAGCUUCACAUAGGAAAUGCAUCCUGCUUAAUCCAUACUCAUACUAACCUUUCUGGAUUUUUUUUGGAAGGACUGAGCUGAAACACUGGCUGUGAGUGACUCUGCUGGUUUAUGUAGCAAUAAAUAAAGUCUAAGUGGACAAAUGUGAUUAAUGAAGAACAGUAUUAACAGGCUUGUACAUUCUUACUGAGUCAUAGAUGUA